AGGGGAAAGACGAUGAUGUGUUUCCAAGCACAUAUCUGACUUAGAUGUGUGGAUGACAGUCAAGCUGAGUCUUUCCCGA
ensembl:snoRNA Gm22888 predicted gene, 22888